GACGAACGCUGGCGGCGUGCUUAACACAUGCAAGUCGAACGAUGAAGCAAAGAAUUGAAGCUUCGGCAGAAAUUCAUUUCGGAUUAGUGGCAGACGGGUGAGUAACGCGUGAGCAACCUACCUCUUACAAAGGGAUAGCCUCGGGAAACCGGGAUUAAUACCAUAUAACAUUGCGACGAAGCAUUUCGAUGCAAUCAAAGCUACGGCGGUAAGGGAUGGGCUCGCGUCCCAUGAACCAGAUGGUGAGGUAACGGCGCACCAUAGUAACGAUGGGUAACCGGGCUGAGAGGGUGAGCGGUGACACUGGAACUGAGACACGGUCCAGACUCCUACGGGAGGCAGCAGUGCGGAAUAUUGCACAAUGGAGGGAACUCUGAUGCAGCGACGCCGCGUGAGUGAUGAAGGAAUUCGUUUCGUAAAACUCUGUUCUAUGGGAAGAAAAGGACUGUACCAUAGGAGAAAGCUCCGGCUAAAUACGUG
rnacentral:rRNA from 1 species